AGAAGCAUGACGCAGCUGAUCAGCCAUGCCGCGUGAGUGAUGAAGCCUUAGGGUUGUAAAGCUGUUUUUCCAGGGAAGAAAAUGACUGUAUUUGUAGGAGUAUGACCGGACAAUUCCAAUAAAGAACGCCUAACUCUGUGCCAGCAGCCGCGGUAAUGUA
rnacentral:rRNA from 1 species